rnacentral:rRNA from 1 species
AUUGAACGCUGGCGGCAUGCCUUACACAUGCAAGUCGAACGGCAGCACGGGAGCAAUCCUGGUGGCGAGUGGCGAACGGGUGAGUAAAGCAUCGGAACGUGCCCAGUCGUGGGGGAUAACGUAGCGAAAGCUACGCUAAUACCGCAUACGAUCUGUGGAUGAAAGCGGGGGACCGUAAGGCCUCGCGCGAUUGGAGCGGCCGAUGUCAGAUUAGGUAGUUGGUGGGGUAAAGGCCCACCAAGCCGACGAUCUGUAGCUGGUCUGAGAGGACGACCAGCCACACUGGGACUGAGACACGGCCCAGACUCCUACGGGAGGCAGCAGUGGGGAAUUUUGGACAAUGGGCGCAAGCCUGAUCCAGCAAUGCCGCGUGCAGGAUGAAGGCCUUCGGGUUGUAAACUGCUUUUGUACGGAGCGAAAAGGCUCUCUCUAAUACAGGGGGCUCAUGACGGUACCGUAAGAAUAAGCACCGGCUAACUACGUGCCAGCCGCCGCAGUAAGAC